rnacentral:lncRNA from 1 species
UGACCUCCUUGGAACAUUCAGACUGGUAAGAGAAAAGAAUUAAACAUCAAAUCUUCCCUCAGGGACUCCAGAUAAGAGCCCAGGCCAAAGGACACCUUGAUUUUGACCUUGUCAGACCUGGAGUUGAAAAACCAGCUGCACCCUUCUAGAAUUCUUACUUACAAAACUGGAGAUGUUACAAGACAAGAUGAUUUCACUGGAAGCUGAGUUUUGCCAGCUUUGGGGAAAUGCUGAUGCAGAACAUCAUUUAUUUAAGGCUGAUACUCAUGGAUAGAAGAGUCAAAGUGCGAAUAUAUGCACCCUUCUAUACGGAUUCUGCAGAAAGAUAUGCUUGGGUCAUGACUCAGACAAUUUGGAGAGAAUUCCCUGAAACAUUCACUGUACAACUCUACUUUCUUGAAUACUUA